rnacentral:rRNA from 1 species
CCUACGGGAGGCAGCAGUGGGGAAUAUUGGGCAAUGGGCGCAAGCCUGACCCAGCAUCGCCGCGUGAAGGAAGAAGGCUUUCGGGUUGUAAACUUCUUUUGUCAGGGACGAAGCAAGUGACGGUACCUGACGAAUAAGCCACGGCUAACUACGUGCCAGCAGCCGCGGUAAUACGUAGGUGGCAAGCGUUAUCCGGAUUUAUUGGGUGUAAAGGGCGUGUAGGCGGGAAUGCAAGUCAGAUGUGAAAACUAUGGGCUCAACCCAUAGCCUGCAUUUGAAACUGUAUUUCUUGAGUGCUGGAGAGGCAGACGGAAUUCCUAGUGUAGCGGUGAAAUGCGUAGAUAUUAGGAGGAACACCAGUGGCGAAGGCGGUCUGCUGGACAGCAACUGACGGUGAGGCGCGAAAGCGUGGGGAGCAAACAGGAUUAGAUACCCUGGUAGUC